rnacentral:pre_miRNA from 1 species
AAUAUACUUCCUCCGUCUCAAAAUUCUUGUCUUAGAUUCGUCUAGAUACGGAUGUAUCUAAUACUAAAACAUGACUUGAUACAUCCGUAUUUAAACAAAUUUAAGACAAGAAUUUUGAAACGAAGGGAGUAUAAC